AAUAAAUCAUAUUUCCCUACUAUCUGCAUUAUUUUGAAACCAAGUGCCAAGAUGAAUCUAGCUUUAGUUUUUCUGAUUAUAUCAUUUCAGUGGACAACAGGUUUUGCUGAUGUAAAUGAUGUUACACAGUCUCCAAACAUCAUGUUACCUGUUAAGGAAAAUGCCACUCUCACCUGCAAUCACAGAAAAGGUGCUACUUAUGACAGCAUGUACUGGUUCCGCCAACAUCAAGGAAAAACGAUGGAGCUCAUAGUGUACACAACAAGUUAUGGCAUGGUGGAAUUUGGAAAGCUUGAAAAAAUGAAAUACUCAGUCAAUCAUGAAUCUGCUGAGAAGGGUGUUCUUACUGUGAUAAGUCUGGAGUCUGCUGACAAUGCGCUGUAUCUGUGUGCAGUGAGUGAACACAGUGCAGCAGAAUCAUUUCACAGAAGUACAAAAACCCUUUUUGACAAGAGCUAUAAGAGAUCACACAGACAGGUGGCACUCAUGCUCAACACUUGUAGUCUGCCACAACGCAGCCUUAUAGAAGGACUUAGCUCUUUAUGUAUUUCGUAAGACAUCAAAUCACUCACCAUAA